GAGUUGCGAACGGGUGAGUAACGCGUAGGUAACCUGCCUGGUAGCGGGGGAUAACUAUUGGAAACGAUAGCUAAUACCGCAUAAGAGUAGAUGUUGCAUGACAUUUGCUUAAAAGGUGCAAUUGCAUCACUACCAGAUGGACCUGCGUUGUAUUAGCUAGUUGGUGGGGUAACGGCUCACCAAGGCGACGAUACAUAGCCGACCUGAGAGGGUGAUCGGCCACACUGGGACUGAGACACGGCCCAGACUCCUACGGGAGGCAGCAGUAGGGAAUCUUCGGCAAUGGACGGGAGUCUGACCGAGCAACGCCGCGUGAGUGAAGAAGGUUUUCGGAUCGUAAAGCUCUGUUGUAAGAGAAGAACGAGUGUGAGAGUGGAAAGUUCACACUGUGACGGUAUCUUACCAGAAAGGGACGGCUAACUACGUGCCAGCAGCCGCGGUAAUACGUAGGUCCCGAGCGUUGUCCGGAUUUAUUGGGCGUAAAGCGAGCGCAGGCGGUUAGAUAAGUCUGAAGUUAAAGGCUGUGGCUUAACCAUAGUACGCUUUGGAAACUGUUUAACUUGAGUGCAAGAGGGGAGAGUGGAAUUCCAUGUGUAGCGGUGAAAUGCGUAGAUAUAUGGAGGAACACCGGUGGCGAAAGC
rnacentral:rRNA from 1 species